UUUGGUUUAAUUUGGGGAAACCCAUUUUUUCCCAGCUCUGAGCCCCAGGGGAGGCUCCUCUGAGGCUGGGGAGGCCUGGAGGAGGAUGGGUAUGAUUUAACCAGUCAAUACUCGAAGAUACAGGAGAGAGGGAACAAAAGACGCUUUAUGGGAAGCUUCAUGGAAAGGGACAUGAAUUUUGGAGUCAGGCCGACUUUCACAUCACUUUCUCCAUCUCUCAUUUGCCAGUUGUGUGACCUUAGGCCGAUCCCAUUACCUUCUGAGCCUUGGUUUCCUCACCUGUAAAAUGGGAAGAAUAAUAGCAUCUGCGCUGGAGGAGCGCUGUGUAU
rnacentral:sRNA from 1 species